GAAUAAAUCAAAUGAGCAGCAGGAUCUGUUACUAGUUGCAGAGAAUUGGUUCCCUUUUAAGCUAUACAUUGAUGGAGAACAACCCUAAUUCUUCAAGAACUGAUAGGAAAACCAUAGAGAGGAAUAGAAGAAAUCAAAUGAAGGCUCUCUACUCCAAGCUCAAUUCUCUUGUGCCCCGUCAAAGCUCCAGGGAAUCACUGUCGCUGCCUGAUCAGCUAGAUGAGGCUGCAAACUAUAUUAAAAAGUUGCAGACGAACCUGGAGAAAAUGAAAGAAAAGAAGGACAGUUUAAUGGGAACUCAUGAAAGGCCGAAUGCAAGCAUGAGUAGUGGAACAGCAAUGCUGAUAAGAUCUCCACAAAUUGAGGUUCAUGAAGUGGGUUCUGCUUUAGAUGUUAGUUUGAUAACUGGGUUGGAUAGUCAGUUCAUGUUCAAUGAGGCUAUUCGUGUUCUUCAUGAAGAAGGGGCGGAGAUUGUUAAUGCCAGUUUUGCUGUUGUAGAUGAUACUGUUUUCCACACAAUACAUUCCAAGGUAGGGGAUGAUUGUUGUUCUUCAUCACAUAUACUUGAAAGGAUGUGAUUAAGUGAUUUAUUACAAUUAAAGAUAUUAAGAUUGAUAUAUUCAAGAAAUCCAGUCUCCCUGAAUUCUUGCAGGUUGAAGAUUCUGCCCCUAGUUGUGCAGCUGCUAGGAUUUCUGAGAGGUUAAAGAAGUUUGUUCAAGAUGCAAAUUCAUUUUGAUGUCUGCAGCUUUAAUGGAGAAAGUGCCAUGAAAAUUGACUAGUAUGUUUUUUUAUAUAUGUUUCCUUGAAGACUAAGGGACUUCAAAAACGUUCAGGUCAAUACAGAUCUAUUGUUCAUAAUUACUUUUAACACUUCCUAUGUAUCAUUGUAACGAAUCAUACAUUCAUACUAGAACUAAGCAAUAUUACACUUUGGAAGCCGUUAUUUUGUAGUGUUAAUUGUAGAUUAAUUAGGGUUUCUGGUGGUAGCUAACAUCAGAUAUAACUUGGAAGCUUGUUUAUGGUUGCUUAGAAGUGUCAUAUAUCAUUGUCCUUUCUUCAAUUCAACGUUCAACUCUAACAAGAAUCAAC
rnacentral:misc_RNA from 1 species